rnacentral:rRNA from 1 species
UACGGAGGGUGCAAGCGUUGUUCGGAAUCACUGGGCGUAAAGCGCGUGUAGGCGGCCUCUUAAGUCUGGUGGGAAAGCCCGGGGCUCACCCCCGGAAGGGCACUGGAUACUGGGAGGCUAGAGUACCGGAGAGGAGGGUGGAAUUCCUGGUGGAGCGGGGAAAUGGGGAGAUAUCCGGGGGAACCCCGGUGGGGAAGGCGGGCCUCUUGACGGCUACUGACGCCGAGGCGCGGAAGCGUGGGGAGCAAACAGG